GCUCAGGCUGACAUCCUGGCUGCAGCCUCAGGAGAGACACUGAACCAGAAGCACCAAGCUAAACUGCGCCUGGGUUCAUAUACUCAAAUGACAUAUUGCACACAUCUUUAGGACAGACUGAAGCUGUGGUUUCCCUGUAGCUGAUGGGGUGACUACAUUAUUAAGAAGACUCUGAUGGAAGUGGCCCAUUCAGUUGUUUCUGGAAAACAGGUGCAAAGGAUCCUAUGGAGACUCCUAGGUGCCCCUGGGAUCAUGGAACCAUGAAGAGGAAGCCCCUUUGUUGGCCAUAUGGGAGAUCACUCUUGGGAUACACAACUGGGUUGUGACAUGAGCAAAGACCGAACCUGUUAUUGAGCUAAGCAUUGCGAUAUGAAGUUGUUGAUUUAUCACAGCAAUUAGUCUACCCUGACUACCUUCAGGAGCCGAGGCCACUGAGUAAAGUUGUGUUGAAAAUGACUGUCUCGCUAUGGAAAAGUGACUCUGUGAAGAGGAAUUCAGCA
rnacentral:lncRNA from 10 species